UCCAGUUCUACAUUCUUGCUUCAUCUCCACUAUUUGGUUAUAUUAUCUUUGAUUCAGUCAUAAAUUAUCCGCAAAACUCUUUCAAAAAUAUGAACUUAUUUUCAUCCUUUUUUCUCAGUGGCCAAGUUUCAGAAACAUAUAAAAUAACUGGUCAUAGAGUGAUGUAUAUAUCUAACUUUUUUUUCAUCCUUCGUGACAAUAGGGACAUCACGAAGGAUUUCACAUUUGUUUAUGAGAUGCAAAACCUAUACUAAAAAUGAAAAACUUGAAAUCCGCUUGCGCAGCAUAUUAAACACGAAAUCAAUAAUUUCCAUAGGUAUUCAAUUCUGUUUUUCAAUUAUCACACAUUCAAAUGUAAAGUGCAAUUCAAAAACGUAAUACAUUAUUUUAUAAUAAACUAAAG